rnacentral:rRNA from 1 species
UACGGGGGGGAGCAAGCGUUGUUCGGAUUUACUGGGCGUAAAGGGCGCGUAGGCGGCGUGACAAGUCACUUGUGAAAUCUCCGGGCUUAACUCGGAGCGGUCAAGUGAUACUGUCGUGCUAGAGUGCGGAAGGGGCUACUGGAAUUCUCGGUGUAGCGGUGAAAUGCGUAGAUAUCGAGAGGAACACCUGCGGCGAAGGCGGGUAGCUGGGCCGACACUGACGCUGAUGCGCGAAAGCCAGGGAGCGAACGGG